GAAACCUGUAGAGUUCAUCAACAUCAUUGGUGCAGUAAUGCAAUGAACAUUCCUAGAUAUUAAGACAAAGAAAGGGCACGUGACAUAUGAUCAUUGUCCUAAAACUUUGAGGAUUCAUUCCCUACUAGCCUUUGGCUUUUGCACAGACCAGUUUGUUGCAACUUUCCUAAAAUUCAUUCCCUACAAACCUUCUUAAAAAGUUCAUUUUGACAGCGAUCUCUUUAGGGCAUACGGUAAUCGUACAGUAACACUCAUCAGAGCUCAAUUAUUUGACAUCACAUGCCGGGAUAACCCGAGCUUGCUUUGUGCCGAGUUCUGUGAACAGAAAGAUCUUAAAUUGGAUUGAAUCCUUGGGGCAAAGAAUUUGCAUCGAUACAUAAAGGUUGCAUGUGGGAAGUCUCGGUCCCCACGGAAAAUGUCGAUACAGAAACGAUAGAAGGACAGGGCUCGUAAAAGCCACCCAUCACUGUGCUUCUAUUGUGGAAAAGCAGAAAAUCCAACAAAGCUGGCAAAAAAACUAGUAGAAAGAGACAGAGAGAUUUCUUGCAAUGGAGGACUGCCUCAUAGAUUGAGCUCUCAGAAUCACAGGAUCUUCGCCAAUCAUCGGCAGAGUAAGCUACGCUUAUCCGCGGCGAUGCUUCAUAUGAAUAUUCCCAAUUCUUCAUAGAUUUGGAUCUUCUACCAACAUUUUCUGGUUUAGAACUUGAUGCUCUAUGACCUCGUAUUCUUUGGUACAAUGGCUUGAAAAAACUCAAAUACUUUUGCAACACUUUCUUCGAUAGUUUCCGACACUUUCUCAUUGACGAGCAGUCAGAAGUAUUGGCUGGAUGGACGUCGUUUUCUAUAUGGGAAGAUUUUGGAAGAUUUGGAUUGAAAUCUUCAUCCUCGUAUUUCUGAACUUUCACUGGAUCAAUGAAAAAAGGCACAAGACAACCAUUGGAAAUCAGCUGAUCAGCAUGUACAAAUGUGAGAGAAGGCGGCGAGACAGGGAAAUCAAAUUUAAAAUCUUGAGAGUUCCUAAAAAAUCUCUUGGAGGGUGGCAUUCUUGGGUCCAUCUCGAUGAAGGAGGAAGCAGCUUCAUCGGAAGCAUCAAGUGAAGUCCUAAAGGAAUUGUUGCCUGAGCUCUCUAGAGAUGGCUUUAUAUUCACUAACCAACUAUAUGAAAAGCUGUCAAUUGAAAGAGGCUGGGAUGUCUCCAUUUCCAGCAGCUUUGCUUUAUUUCAAUAUAUUUGUGCAGAACACAACUUCAAAGAAUAUUAUUAGCUACUGAAAUCUCUCUUCUUUAUAGAACAUAUCCACAGGGGCUUUGUGGUUCACAUACACACAUAUAUACACAUCUGUGUGUGUGUGUAUAUAUAUGAAAAACCUCAAUCUCCUCUCUCUCUCUAA